rnacentral:sRNA from 1 species
GCCCAGACAGUGGUGUUUACAACUAAUUGAUCACAAUUAGUUACAGCUCUCUUUGUUCCCUCUCCAUUUCUACCGCUUCACUUCACUAGCCUUAA